rnacentral:rRNA from 1 species
AGGUAAGCUACUAAGAGCGAAUGGUGGAUGCCUUGACUGGUAAAGGCGAUGAAGGACGUACUAGACUGCGAUAAGCUACGGGGAGCUGUCAAGAAGCUUUGAUCCGUAGAUUUCCGAAUGGGGCAACCCAAUGUAUAGAGAUAUACAUUACCUAUAUAGGAGCGAACGAGGGGAAUUGAAACAUCUUAGUACCCUCAGGAAAAGAAAUCAAUAGAGAUUGCGUCAGUAGCGGCGAGCGAAAGCGUAAGAGGGCAAACCCAGUGCUUGCACUGGGGGUUGUAGGACUGCAAUGUGCAAGAGGUGAGUUUAGCAGAACAUUCUGGAAAGUAUAGCCAUAGAGGGUGAUAGUCCCGUAUGCGAAAAACAAACCUUAGCUAGCAGUAUCCUGAGUAGGGCGGGACACGAGAAAUCCUGUCUGAAGCUGGGUCGACCACGAUCCAACCCUAAAUACUAAUACCAGAUCGAUAGUGCACAAGUACCGUGAGGGAAAGGUGAAAAGAACUGAGGUGAUCAGAGUGAAAUAGAACCUGAAACCAUUUGCUUACAAUCAUUCAGAGCACUAUGUAGCAAUACAGUGUGAUGGACUGCCUUUUGCAUAAUGAGCCUGCGAGUUGUGGUGUCUGGCAAGGUUAAGCAAACGCGAAGCCGUAGCGAAAGCGAGUCUGAAUAGGGCGCUUAGUCAGAUGCUGCAGACCCGAAACGAAGUGAUCUAUCCAUGAGCAAGUUGAAGCUAGUGUAAGAACUAGUGGAGGACUGAACCCAUAGGCGUUGAAAAGCCCCGGGAUGACUUGUGGAUAGGGGUGAAAGGCCAAUCAAACUUCGUGAUAGCUGGUUCUCUCCGAAAUAUAUUUAGGUAUAGCGUUGUGUCGUAAUAUAAGGGGGUAGAGCACUGAAUGGGCUAGGGCAUACACCAAUGUACCAAACCCUAUCAAACUCCGAAUACCUUAUAUGUAAUCACAGCAGUCAGGCGGCGAGUGAUAAAAUCCGUCGUCAAGAGGGAAACAACCCAGACUACCAGCUAAGGUCCCUAAAUCUUACUUAAGUGGAAAACGAUGUGAAGUUACUUAAACAACCAGGAGGUUGGCUUAGAAGCAGCCAUCCUUUAAAGAAAGCGUAAUAGCUCACUGGUCUAGUGAUUUUGCGCGGAAAAUAUAACGGGGCUAAAGUAAGUACCGAAGCUGUAGACUUGAUUUUAUCAAGUGGUAGGAGAGCGUUCUAUUUGCGUCGAAGGUAUACCGGUAAGGAGUGCUGGAGCGAAUAGAAGUGAGCAUGCAGGCAUGAGUAGCGAUAAUUAAUGUGAGAAUCAUUAACGCCGUAAACCCAAGGUUUCCUACGCGAUGCUCGUCAUCGUAGGGUUAGUCGGGUCCUAAGUCGAGUCCGAAAGGGGUAGACGAUGGCAAAUUGGUUAAUAUUCCAAUACCAACAUUAGUGUGCGAUGGAAGGACGCUUAGGGCUAAGGGGGCUAGCGGAUGGAAGUGCUAGUCUAAGGUCGUAGGAGGUUAUACAGGCAAAUCCGUAUAACAAUACUCCGAGAACUGAAAGGCUUUUUGAAGUCUUCGGAUGGAUAGAAGAACCCCUGAUGCCAUCGAGCCAAGAAAAGUUUCUAAGUUUAGCUAAUGUUGCCCGUACCGUAAACCGACACAGGUGGGUGGGAUGAGUAUUCUAAGGCGCGUGGAAGAACUCUCUUUAAGGAACUCUGCAAAAUAGCACCGUAUCUUCGGUAUAAGGUGUGGUUCGCUUCGUAUUAGGAUUUACUCCGAAAGCGAAGAAACUUACAACAAAGAGUCCCUCCCGACUGUUUACCAAAAACACAGCACUCUGCUAACUCGUAAGAGGAUGUAUAGGGUGUGACGCCUGCCCGGUGCUCGAAGGUUAAUUGAUGGGGUUAGCAUUAGCGAAGCUCUUGAUCGAAGCCCGAGUAAACGGCGGCCGUAACUAUAACGGUCCUAAGGUAGCGAAAUUCCUUGUCGGUUAAAUACCGACCUGCAUGAAUGGCGUAACGAGAUGGGAGCUGUCUCAAAGAGGGAUCCAGUGAAAUUGUAGUGGAGGUGAAAAUUCCUCCUACCCGCGGCAAGACGGAGAGACCCCGUGGACCUUUACUACAGCUUGACACUGCUAUUUGGAUAAGAAUGUGCAGGAUAGGUGGGAGGCUUUGAGUAUAUGACGCCAGUUGUAUAUGAGCCAUUGUUGAGAUACCACUCUUUCUUAUUUGGGUAGCUAACCAGCUUGAGUUAUCCUCAAGUGGGACAAUGUCUGGUGGGUAGUUUGACUGGGGCGGUCGCCUCCCAAAUAAUAACGGAGGCUUACAAAGGUUGGCUCAGAACGGUUGGAAAUCGUUCGUAGAGUAUAAAGGUAUAAGCCAGCUUAACUGCAAGACAUACAAGUCAAGCAGAGACGAAAGUCGGUCUUAGUGAUCCGGUGGUUCUGUGUGGAAGGGCCAUCGCUCAAAGGAUAAAAGGUACCCCGGGGAUAACAGGCUGAUCUCCCCCAAGAGCUCACAUCGACGGGGAGGUUUGGCACCUCGAUGUCGGCUCAUCGCAUCCUGGGGCUGGAGCAGGUCCCAAGGGUAUGGCUGUUCGCCAUUUAAAGCGGUACGCGAGCUGGGUUCAGAACGUCGUGAGACAGUUCGGUCCCUAUCUGCCGUGGGCGUAAGAAGAUUGAGGAGAUUUGACCCUAGUACGAGAGGACCGGGUUGAACAAACCACUGGUGUAGCUGUUGUUCUGCCAAGAGCAUCGCAGCGUAGCUAAGUUUGGAAAGGAUAAACGCUGAAAGCAUCUAAGCGUGAAGCCAACUCUAAGAUGAAUCUUCUCUAAGCUCUCUAGAAGACUACUAGUUUGAUAGGCUGGGUGUGUAAUGGAUGAAAGUCCUUUAGCUGACCAGUACUAAUAGAGCGUUUGGCUUAUCUUU